AGGCUAAUAGUGACAUUAAUUUAAUCUGGGUUUCACUUCUAUAUCUUCGACUUCAACUCUCCCAAAGAGCUACCCCUUUUUCUUCCACAAAACACCCCACACACCAUCGGAAUCCUUUUUUCCUAAAGUGAAGCUCAUCAAUAAGAUCUACAUAUCAGUGCGGUUUUUAAAGACGAUUCAAGCAGAAGAGUUAGAUUAAUAUCAUUGUGGAUCAGCGUGUUAGACAGUCUCCUGAAAUGCCAGUCUCAAUGUGUUAAGUGGUGCUAAAAAUGGGUCUUUGUUUCGAAACUCCAGCUCUAUUUGUUUUUCACAGAACGCAGUAUAUUUUCGAUUCUCAAGGAAGGAAGAAGACCAUUUGUGGGAAAGUUUCUGUUGCAAAUCCCACCCCAAGUUUGAUUUUGAUUUUUGAAGUUAUUUAAUUUUGGGUUUUCUGUUAUUUGACUAUUUCUAGUAUGAUUCCACACAAGACCAAGCGAGGCUGCUGUAGUUUUUAACCGAGGCUUAUGAGGGUAUUCCAACACCAUGGUUAUCCCUGAUGCUCUCAAUAGAUGCAUGAAUAGAGCUUGGCCUGGUCUUGGAGAAGCUCUAAAAGGUAGCAUUGAGAAUAAGAUUCAUGGGAUGGCAACGGAACAAGGAUCGUUGAUGGAAAUUGUAUCCAGAAAAUAUAGUGAUAACUUCAAAGGCUUGAACCACUACUGCUGAUGGAUUUAAUGUUGGUGGUCUGGUGUGCUGGUGGUGCUGUUAGGCGAGUGAGGUUGCCGCUGUUGUUAGUGGUGGCGCUUGGGGUGUUGAUGUUGUGACUUGGCAGUUGUAUUUGUAUUGUUGGACUGCAUUUGACUUGGCAAUAGAGUGGGAGAGACUAUACCUGCACGAAGACCUGAUAUAUUUCCAGUCCAACUUAACGGAAGCAACGGUUUCACCACCAUUGUCAGCAGAUCCUCCAGAAGAAAAAGAAAAGGAGGAAGAUGAUCUUGAAGCUGCAAUGAUGUCUUGGUUGAUGGUAAGAUCACUGUUGCUGCUGGAUAAGGAAAUUUUGGAAAGGGUUGUCCUUCUGCAGUUGUGCUCUCAAGCAAGCCAGUGCCAAGGUCAUAAUGACUGAAAUUGUUGUUGAAAUUUUUAGUAUCACUUCUCUAUAAGAACCUUGAACUUAUUAAUUGGCAGCUGAAUCCUUUUUUUUAUGAGUUUGGACUAAAUUUUAUGAAUGCAAUUCAAUGUAAUGGAGCUGUCAUUUUGUAUCAAAUGAAUCCGGUUUUAUAUGGAAUUUGAAUUUGGAAUUGUUCAUUUGAAUUUUA